AUUGAACGCUGGCGGCAGGCCUAACACAUGCAAGUCGAGCGGAUGAAGGGAGCUUGCUCCUGGAUUCAGCGGCGGACGGGUGAGUAAUGCCUAGGAAUCUGCCUGGUAGUGGGGGAUAACGUCCGGAAACGGGCGCUAAUACCGCAUACGUCCUGAGGGAGAAAGUGGGGGAUCUUCGGACCUCACGCUAUCAGAUGAGCCUAGGUCGGAUUAGCUAGUUGGUGGGGUACAGGCCUACCAAGGCGACGAUCCGUAACUGGUCUGAGAGGAUGAUCAGUCACACUGGAACUGAGACACGGUCCAGACUCCUACGGGAGGCAGCAGUGGGGAAUAUUGGACAAUGGGCGAAAGCCUGAUCCAGCCAUGCCGCGUGUGUGAAGAAGGUCUUCGGAUUGUAGAGCACUUUAAGUUGGGAGGAAGGGCAGUAAGUUAAUACCUUGCUGUUUUGACGUUACCAACAGAAUAAGCACCGGCUAACUUCGUG
rnacentral:rRNA from 1 species